rnacentral:rRNA from 1 species
UACGUAGGGUGCGAGCGUUAAUCGGAAUUACUGGGCGUAAAGCGUGUGCAGGCGGUCUGUUAAGUCAGGUGUGAAAUCCCCGGGCUUAACCUGGGAAUGGCGCUUGUUACUGGCAGACUAGAGUGCGUCAGAGGGGGGUGGAAUUCCGCGUGUAGCAGUGAAAUGCGUAGAGAUGUGGAGGAACACCGAUGGCGAAGGCAGCCCCCUGGGAUGACACUGACGCUCAUACACGAAAGCGUGGGGAGCAAACAGG